rnacentral:tRNA from 2 species
GGCGGUAUCGUCUAGGGGUCAGGACACGUGGUUCUCAGCCACGGGACCGGGGUUCGAUUCCCCGUACCGCUACCA